UACGUAGGUGGCAAGCGUUGUCCGGAAUUAUUGGGCGUAAAACGCGCGCAGGUGGUUUCUUAAGUCUGAUGUGAAAGCCCACGGCUCAACCGUGGAGGGUCAUUGGAAACUGGGGGACUUGAGUGCAGGAGAGAAGAGUGGAAUUCCACGUGUAGCGGUGAAAUGCGUAGAGAUGUGGAGGAACACCAGUGGCGAAGGCGACUCUUUGGCCUGUAACUGACGCUGAGGCGCGAAAGCGUGGGGAGCAAACAGG
rnacentral:rRNA from 1 species